AAGUCUAUAUAGCUCCGAUUGAUGAGCUAUUUAUUGUGUUAGAGAGCUGGUGAUAUCCUGGAGGUGCAAAAAGGCUUCAAACGAGGUUUUAGAGAGCUUUUGUGAGGAUUUUGGGGUUUUUUGUUAAGAGACUCUUGUACAAGGAUUGAGUGGUGAGUUCGUCUUGUAUUGAUUGUAUUUUAUUCUCUCAUAGUAAAGCUUGCACACCCC
rnacentral:lncRNA from 1 species